AGUUUGCAAUUUUCAGUCAUUUUAGAUUACAAACGGGAAAUUGAUACCUAAACACCCAAUUUGCAUGGGUAUCAAUUUCCCAUUUGUAAUCUAAAAUGACUGAAAAUUGCAA